UACGAAGGGGGCUAGCGUUGUUCGGAAUUACUGGGCGUAAAGCGCACGUAGGCGGAUAUUUAAGUCAGGGGUGAAAUCCCAGAGCUCAACUCUGGAACUGCCUUUGAUACUGGGUAUCUUGAGUAUGGAAGAGGUAAGUGGAAUUGCGAGUGUAGAGGUGAAAAUUCGUAGAUAUUCGCAGGAACACCAGUGGCGAAGGCGGCUUACUGGUCCAUAACUGACGCUGAGGUGCGAAAGCGUGGGGAGCAAACAGGG
rnacentral:rRNA from 1 species